UUCUUCAUGUAUUUAGGGAGAGGAGCUUUGUCUUGUGUUGUAGGCUAGGUAAUUCUAGCAAAUGUGUUUAAAAUUAAUGGUCUGUUGAAGCUGGUUGCCAUGUUAGCUUAUAUUCAGGGAACAUUAAAAUGCCCCAUGGCUUAAUAACAGUUGAAACUCUUGGAUUGAACUUCCUCUGACUGAAAUUAAGUAUGCUUGAUGGAGAUGUCUGCAUUUGAGCAAGUUGUCAAGAUUUCCCUCAUGGUCUGUAGAGAGAAAUAGGUACCUGUGUGGCUCUGUUCAUCUCACCUGUUUUACACAUCAGCCCUGGAAUGAGGUGAAAGGUGCCCCAGGUAGCCUAGGAUGGCCAGCUUAGAUGCUGACAUCUACAGUAUAGUACCUAAUUUCAGUUGAAUGAAUCCCACCCUUGGAGAGUCCUAGCCUUCUCAGGAAAUCUGGAGUAAGAGCUGAUUUGAGCAGAAAAAGGACGUUUCCCUGUGCAUGGAGCCCGAGUACUACAUGAGAAGAAUCACUCCAGACAAUAGUCACAAGUAGAGAAGCCAGGCAGCAAAAAGCACAGGCAAGCACUGCUAGCAUGGCUGUGAGAAAAAGUUAAGGAAGGAAGCUUUUGGAGCAGGGUACUGGAUCUCUGAGCAAAGGGACUGCCUUCAUAUGUUUUUUAGGUUUUGGGGUUUUUUUGUUUUUUUUAACUUACGUAAUAAAUUAAAAAUUAAAAUAAAUUUUAAAAAUAUUUUGUUUGGGGAAACAAAAGUUUGGUAGAUGCACAAAAGCAUAAUAAAGAAAAACCUGUUCCUGAUCAAUUUUGUUUGAAAGAAACAACCUGCAAUUUAGGUAGAUUUAUUAACCUUAUACAGUGCAACUGUCAGAAUCAAAUUGCAAGACAUUAUCAUUUCAAGAUAACUCCCAUAAGGUAUCAUUCGCAUAUGCCUUUAGUAUGUUAGCUCUACAGUCCUUCAAACAAUGGAAAGGAAAAUUACUAUUUAGGCAACUUUAAGUCAUCAACCCUAUAAUUGAAAUUUUAAAAACAAAAAAUCUCAACGCUUGUUAUGCACUCAUGACCUGAAAGCAUGAAUCGAACUGCAAAUGAUUAAGGAUAGUUUGCAACUGGGAUAAGAAAAAGGAUUGUUUGCAACUGGUAUGCUUUCAGUAAGUUUUCCAUAUAACACAUUUGUGAAAAGGUUAUAUAUUAAUAAUCUCAUGUCGAUGUUCUUGAAAUGGAAAAAACAGCUUCUAGAUUAACGUAUGAUCUUUUGACUGGCAACACAUCCCGUCUUGCGGGGAUAGUGAGAACCAUUGAAGUUAUGCCAUAUUUACUUAUUUGAAAUUCCCAGUCAUCUUCCAUGUGACAAAAUACCUUUGUGGUAAAGUUAGGCAAUUAUCUUUCCUUUUUGCAGUUUUUUGCUUUUUGAAGUAGUUUUUAAUGAGUAGUGCUUGUGGGACUUGUAUGUGUGUUGAGCAAGUGACUUCAUACGGAGCUCAGUUAUGGAACAGUUAAAAGUUGGAGGUGAUUUUGGUUUUUUGUUUCUGUUUUUUUCCAUUCCCAUGAUACGUUCUUGGAAUGUAGUAAUUGACAAGGUACUGUGUGUUUUGUACUCAUGCUGAAAACAAGAAAACUUGUUCUGAAGUACUUGGUAUACAUUAAUGUCUGUAUAGACGCGUCUAUAUUCAGUUGUGUUCUGAUGGUUCUCUGGUUGCUUUUCUACACUGAUUUGCACUGUAUCUGAUGCUAGUUUGUGUGUACCGGUGUUCAGGACUCAGGAGAUGAGAUCCAUCUCUCCAAAUUCAGAUGUCUUCAAAGUAGUGUCUGUAUUAUCGGUAUUAUAAUUCUUUAUCUAAAUUCUCUGUAUUACCAGUGGAGAGAAACAUGUGACUCCAGGACAUGAUUCAUUUUUCCUAGUAUAAAUAACUAAGAUCAGGUGAAUCACAUUCUAGAAGUGCCUAAUUCUUUCCAUUGAUGAGGAGAGUCUGGAUUAUGAGAUUAGAAAUGUAGACAUUUACAAUAUGGAUGUCUAAAAUUAGGGAAAUGAAUUCAACCCUUGGUGAUAGGAUAUUUUUUCGCUUGUUAAAUACUCUGGUGUGCAGCCUUGUUCACUCUCUUUGCAUUUACUUGCAUGUCAAGUCAGCAGAUAACUAGUGUUAUGCAAUGGGUACCAUGCCUUGUGUGCUCCAUACCAGAGGUGUACAGUGAUCCCUUUUUCCUUGUCUUCUGGAGAGAAGUGAAAGUGCAGGAAACCUUAAAGGUGAAAUAUUGCUGAUGAAACACUUCUGUCAUCAUCACUAAAUUGGAUGGUCAAGUGGAAUGCUUCCUAAGCUAAAAUGAAGUAUAUGGGAGUUGUUUACAGGAAAGCAGAGUGCCAAGACUGGACUUUUCAUAAUCACACGUGCACAAUACCUGCCCAUAUUAUGAGAUGCUGGACAGAAUUUUGUCUCAGGAUCCUGAAGGACAUUUUUAAGGACUCUGAAGACACUGUGUUGGUCUUAAGUCCCCUACGUUGAAUCUGAGGGUGAAAGUAGGUCUGGAGAUUAGAUUUCUUCGUUAUGCAAGACAUCCAGCAAAUACGGGACCAAGAACUCCCUGCGUUGGGCCUGGAAACACAGUCGUACUGCCUCACGAUUGGACAUACAACCUUUAAAUCCUAUGUUGAGUCAGCCCGUAGCACUGUGGAGGAUGUUGGUUCAUACUGGAUUCUGCUGAGUGGUCUGUCUGAAUCCUGCACCUCUAUGCUCAAAAUCUCAACUAUAUAAGAGAGAGCAUCUCAGAAUUGCAGUGCUGCAAAUGACUUCUGUUUUACAGCAUCUUCUCAUGGCACCUCCUCAUCUUCCUUUUAGUUCCUAUAUCUGUGCGAUCAAAAUGACAAGCAGGAAGGUGGUAUACAGCAACAAGCGCUCUGCAGUGCCUUGCAGUCUUUAUACAGUGGAAGCCCUUCUUCCCUCAUUGUGUCCUGCCUUUUGCCUUGCCAGAAUCAAAUAGAAAAAUUCAUAAUAAAAAUUUUUGAGAGAAGUGGGAAGGAUUAAUAUUCUGUUAUUUCUAACUGUAAAAUAAAAUUGAAUUGCAUUCAGAACAAAAUAAUACUGUAGGAAGAAUAGGAAUAAUUUUGUUUAUGCGGUUGGAGAGCACUAUCAAUGUGAAGUUAUGAAUAACUUCCUGCGGGACUGUUGACUCUUUAGGAUGCAAUGAUGCAUCUUUGAUGGUGAGCAAACCACUAAUGAUAAUAGGUCCAGCAAUCAGUCUUCCCACGCGAGGUUGGUUGGCUGCCGCUACUGACCAGAGAAGGGCUUGUGUGUUCAUAUGUUGAUACUGCAGUUUCAAUUAGAUUUCUUGUAGAAGCUCCAUACGUUUUCUUUUUGAAUUUUGAAGCCAUUUCUGUCCAUCCUGUGUGUGCAGUGCAUUCUUCUCACAUGCACUGGUAUUUAUUCAUAAACACAGAAAUGAUUCAGUGUUGACUGAAGCAGGUCUAUAUUUUGAACCUGUCGCCCUUUCUGUUUAGUUGCAGGCAUGAUUGCUGUUGUUUCUACAAAAUCCGCAAUGAAAGCUGGCUUGUUUCGAGUUUUGCUUGUUCAACUAUGAUUAUGUGACAUAAAUGUAUCAAAGCCAUCAGCACAGGUUAUUACAUUAUUAGCAAUGGUUAUUGUUGUGGUACAGUGUGCUUUGUUAGUGAAUGGUUCGAAUAUGAUACCAAGAAGAAAACAAAAGAAAUGGAUCCUGAAACAAGUAUAGACUUUAUAGCUUCAACCCAAUCUCAGAAUUUCACUUGUAUUCUACUGGCUUCCAUAUGUAUUAUGCAUUUUGGUAUGGGGAAAAAUCCUACAGAAGAUGAUGAGAAAGCAUGGAAAGUGCUGAGAACUUUCUCCAGAAAACAUGACGAGUGGAAUGAAGGAUUUAUAAUGGACAAGAACUUGCCAUUUGUGAAUACAAUUACCGCUUAAUUUGCCAGGAAACAUUACAUUGCUUCAUAACAUUUCUCUGGGAGAUAUCCCUGCUCUUCAGAUAAACAAGCUGGGCUCUGACGAUGCUGUCACAAGUACUCAGAACCAGAAGUCACUGGAAGACCUCUUUUCUGUUGUCUAAUUCCCACAGUAAUUUUCCAUAUAACCUUUAUACACUUAUGCAAUAAAAAUUUCCAAAUUUACAAGA